UACAGACCAUUCUGCCAGCUGCAAACCAAGCGGAUGAACAACUGGCAGCUCCCUUGGUUUCCAAGGAAGAACCGAAGGAGCCAGAAGCGCUGCCAAUCCCAGAACCCAUUGAGUAUGAGGAGCCUGUCCUCACUCAACUCAUUGUGGAAAGCUAUGAAGGUGAAAAAGGUCCAUGGAUUAUAUGAGGGAGAAGGAAGGGCAUGUUUUCAAGGGGGCAAUGUUUAUAAGGGCAUGUUUUCGGAGGGCCUCAUUACACUUGGGCCGAUGGAGUUAAGUAUGAGGUAACACAUUGUUAAAUGGAUCAUCAUUACAGCUGUUUGUAGUGAGGGCCAGGGCAAGGU